UUAACUCAAAUUUGUAUGGAGUCGGAAUGUUUGCCUCCGUUUGCCGCUAGGGGCGCUGUUCCGAUUGCAUACAAAUUAGAGUUA
rfam:Bombyx mori DNA, contig: Bm_scaf51_contig26593, strain: p50T/Dazao, build 2, whole genome shotgun sequence.